rnacentral:lncRNA from 1 species
GGUAGACCCCCAAGUCAGGCCUUGGAUAGGGCCAAACUCCUGCCUGGGACUUCCUGAUAGCCCUCAAAGACCAUUUUUAACCUUCCUCCACGACCUAACCCACUGGGACAGGUGAAAUGAUGCAAUGAGGAGAACAAUACUGUUGGAAACUCUCCAACAACUGCUCACCAGGUUUACAAACGUUGUAGGAUUUGUCCUCAGUUUAACACUGGAAAACCCUUACAUAAUGCUAUCGGAAAAUUCCCUCUUCUUGGUGCCCCCUUUGAAGUCUGACAAAUGGAUUUUACCUAACUUCCUCCAUCUCAAGGUUAUAAAUAUAUAUGCUGAGAAGUCCCAUGAUCAGCCGUCUGCAAGGUGAAGACCCAGGAAAGCCAGAGGUGUAGUUCUAUAUGAGUCUGAAGGCCUGAGAACAGUCAGUGCCAGUGUCAAGAGUAGAAGAUGGAUGUCUCAGCUCAAGCAAAGAGAGCAAAUGUGCCUUCCCUCCACCAUUUUGUUCUAGUCAGUCCUCAGCUGAAAGGAUGGUGUCCACCCACAUUGGACACAGGAAACAAAAGGAAAAAAGAGAGGAGGACAAACCACUGUUGCCACUCCACUGCUGUUCUUUUCUGGCUUCUUACCUUGACUCUUGUCCUGGCUUAGUGAUAGAAAAACCCCGCUACAGAUAGUGGGACAGUCCUUGUUUACGCCCCGUUUCCACUCCAGAGAUCUGAGAUUGGACAACACACUCUGUGGUCACCUUACCUAUGGAGAGAGACUGUGCCCAGGAAAUCUUUUGAAUUCUUGGUAAAUAGAUGAAGAGUAAGUUGACC